GAUCAUUCUUGUUUCUUGUCGAUGCAACAGACAAGAGUGUUGGUGCGUACUGCUGAAUCGAGCCCUUGUUCAAUCAUUAUCCUUCAGGAACAGGAACUUUUCUCCACUUCCUAGCUGCAACGAAGCCAAAGUACUAAAGUGAGCAUCUUCAGGGAAAGAGGUAAUCCCGUCUGGGGAAAGGACUCAAGUUUUGGACAUGUCUCUAUGUACAGAGACUCAAGAGAUGUGAGAUGCAUCAUGUUGGAUGGCAGUGAUCUCAGUUUCAGGCAGUCAGUGAAGCGAAGUUCCUCAAGUGAAGUGAGUUGUUGCAGCCAUUCCUUCUGAUCCAUGUUAAAAAUUUCCAGGUGGCUAGAUGAGAUAUCCAGCAUAUGAACAUUGGCUAGGCUGCUCGUUGGAAGACAGCUAAAGAGAAGUCCCAAGUGGUCCAGGGAGAGCUGAACAUGGAAGGACGUGUUGACAUUAGUUGUAUUUUCAGAUUCGCAACUGGUUAUCUUCUCAUACGUCGAGUUAGAUACAGAAAUUUGCAUUUUUUUGAGUGACUGUAACGGUAAAGGGCCCAUCAACUGGGUACAUUUCUGAAUACAGAUGUCACGCAGACGUGGAAAUACUUGUUGGCUGGAAUCAAUACCUGACCAUCCUUUCCACUUUUCCAUGCCUUCAAAUAGAAGCUUUUCCAGUGAUGGAAAUGCCACUGGAGCAUCCCCAUAGAAUCCAGCAUCUAUAUUUUCCACUGCUGUUAAAUGCCUUAUCUUUAAUAUCCUCAGGAAUGGUAGGCUCCCAAAAGGUGGAAGAGUUUUCCAAUGAUGGCAGGAGAAUAAUUCAAUGCAGUGAAUGUUGGGCAAGUAUUUACAGGAUAGCCAAGAAGGAGAGUUGAUUCCCAUGUAACAUCUGACAGAAAGUUCUCUCAAGUUGGGAUUUGGUUGUAACCCUUCAAGCACGCCUUCAUGGUCGGUGUAGUUCAUGCUGUGUUUGUGAUGAUUCCAACAGAGUGUUAGCUUGUUCAGGUUUUCCUUCUUAACUAAUCCCGCCUCAGAUGAUUCUUCCCUGCAUCUCACAUUCUGAAGAUUCUUGAUGUUUAGCAUGCCUCUAAGUUCAUUCAACUCUUUUAGUUGACAUAUAUGAUGCUUCAUGUCACUCUUCACUUCGUACUCCUCUAAUUCCCUGAGGGAUGUUAGCCUGCCAAUCAAUUUUAUACCUGAAAUUAUUUCCUUUGGGGCCUUUAAAUAUCUUAACUGGGUCAACAUACUUAAGCCCUCUUGAAGUUCUUUUUUCAUCAUCCCGCCUUCUUGAAUUUUCAGAUCCAGUCCAUUUAGAUGGUAGAGCUUGAAUAUUGACUUGGGGACACUGAUAAAGCUUCCAUUUUCAUGGAUAUUUAGAUACCUAAGGUGGACCAAUUUAUCCAGAUUUUUUGGGAGUAUACCAUCAAGAUUGCUUAGUACUAAAACCCGUAAGCUUCUUAGCUGUUGGAGAGUCUCUUCAAGAACAUGGUUGAAGUUCGACGAUGUGAUCCCUCUGCGGGAAGUACCUUCUUCUGCCUUGCAUAUUAUUAAGCUUCUCACAUUCUUCUUCAACUCUUUGAAUUCUUGCAAACUUAUGAACACCUUAGAUAUAUUGCUUGCACUGACAUAUAUGUGGCGAACGUUUCUUGGAAUGCACACAUGGAAGUCAUCUUCUAUUCGGAAGUGUUCUCCAUUAGAGACUGACUCUGCAAAAUCAUGUAGCAAGUCAUGAACUACAUAGUGGUCCUCUUUGUUGGCUACCUUCUCAAUAAACGAAAGCUGCAAGAGAUCGUUGAUGUAACGAUAGGCAAUUUCAUCCGGUGUUUGUGUGCUAAGGAAACCAUGAGCCCUCCACAUCUGUAUCAGCACAUCUCCACGAAGGUGGUAUUUCUUAGGGAACAGUGCAAAGUAAACAAAGCAUUGCUUCAAAUGGUCAGGAAGAUGCUCAUAACUCAGUCCCAAUGCUGAUAUAAUAUCAUCUUCCUUUUGCUCUAAUUGCCACAAUUUACUCCUAGAGACAGCCCUCCAAUGAUUUUCUUCUAACUCAAGUUUCAGUGAACCACCAAUUGUCUUUGCUGCUAAAGGUGAUCCUGCCAACCUCUUCACCACUUGUCGACCAAUAUUUUCCAGCUGUGGAUAUUCAGAUGGAUUUGCAUCACCAAACGCACAUUCUGAGAAAAAACCCCAGUACUCUUCUUCUUCUAAUCCAUGUAAGUACAUCAUCUCUGUUGCUCCGUUGAUGCUUGCAACGUUUUUACUACGUGUCGUAACUAUUACUUUGCUGCCCUUACAGGCAAACUGCAGCGGCUUGCACAGGUUCUCUGAUUGGCUGCUCAGUUCAUUCCAUACAUCAUCAAGGACUACCAAAGCUCUUUUCCCAUUCAGCUUCUCCCGUAACAUCCUUUGAGCUUGAUCUAAACUACUGAUGCUGUUCAAGUCAGCAGACAUGCCGAGAUUAUCAGACUGUGCCAUCUCUUUUGUUAGACGUCCAACAUCGAAUUUAUCUGAGACAUGAAGCCAUACUGCAAAAUCAAAGUGACAGGUGACACGGAAAUGAUUAUACACUCUCUGUACUAACGCAGUCUUACCAACACCACCAAUACCAACAAUCGAUAUAACAUCAUAUGGCUGACUGGAUUGUUCAUUGAUCUGAACAAGUAAUUUCUUCAGGUGUUUUUCUUCAUUAACUCGACCAAAAAACUUUCUUGAGCCUGGUAUAGAGGUUGUUGUGCGCCACUGAACUGCCUGUUCUGGUCUGCUGUCCUCUAGCUUCACUAACCCCAGGAAUGUUUGCAUCGUACUACCAAUAUCAGCAAACAAAUCCACUACAGAAAUCAACUCAUCGACAUCUUCAUCGGAGAAAAGGAAGCGUUUGAGAGCACAAACCGACUGAUUUACUGUUGAGCCGCUGCUACUGCUAGUAGUGGUAGAGGCAGCGGUGAUGGUGGUUGUGGAUGAAGAAGAUGACCCAGCUGCGGCUGAAGCAACUGAGUUAGCCUUGCCCAUGUCUUCCGCUUCUGCUUGUAGAACUCGAUAGUCAAACAAAUCAAGAACAUCCUCAGCUUGACAUGCAGCAUCUUUGAUUCUCCUUAGCCAACUUCCCAUGACUGUGUUCUUCGCCUGCACUCUCUCAGCUAUGUGCACCACUGUUUGGAUCGACGAUAGGUUCUUCUCUAAGAUUCUUAGUUUCUCCUUUGUGUCUUGCCGUUGGUAUUCAUACUGAUCGCCAGCAUAGGAGCACACCUUCUCAACCAGCUUUGUGAUGAGGGCUGAGGCCACCCAUCCUCCUAUUGCUGUAGCCAUUAAAGCUCAGAGGCAACAACUCGAAAGAUUUGUCAAAUGAUGGUUUCAAGUCGCCACAUAAGAGAAAAAGGAAUAAUGGUUGGAAGAAAGUUAGCAUUUGGAUCCUGUCAAGAAGGAAUCUUAGUAUAAAGUAAUGCCAUAAUCUGAAACUUCCCCGAGCUGCAUCGUAUUGCUUUGUUUUUGCCAUAUUCUAAUGAAGCACUAGGACUGGACCUGGAACCUGUGGCACUUAAAUUCAGAAACAACCGUGAGUCUCAUUCCAGCACCUUGAUGGAGAUAACAGUGUGUAGCCUAUGUUUUGGCAAUAGUUCCUCUAAUUUUUUUUUUUAAAGGGACCAAGAUGGGAGGAACCCUGCAGCAUUUUAUUAAGAAAGAAGCUGUGUGGCACAGCCGUCCAACCCGGGAUCGAACGCGCGCUGCCUGCGAGGCGCCACUGCGCUCUCACCACUGGGCUAUGCUGUGCCUGUUUUUUUUUUUGACCCAAAACCUCAGUUCUAUUAAGAGAAAACACCGGUACAGACACCCCUGAAAAACGAAGAAAAUACAUUGGAGCCCCGGGGGAAGACGGCCGCCGCCGCCGUCAACACGCACUGAAGGCACGCCGCCGCCAUCAACGCUCCGAGGAGCUUAGAAAAGGCAAGCAGCCGGAAGUCCUUCAAGAAAGGGGCCUCGAAAGCCCUACGCGUGGAAGGAGAAGCCGUCGUCUUCGAAGUCGUCGUCGGCGAACCUCCGCGAGAACAGAGCCCGCUCCAGUACAGCACCAUCUGUACAAGCUUCACAAGCUCCUCAACGGCGCCGGAGAGCUCGCCGCUGAAGAAGGGACGGAGCCGGAAGACAAAAGCCCGCGGAUCUGGCAGCACCACCGCCUCGCCACCAGAUCGAAGGCAACACCUCCCCACAGGCUCCCCGAGGACGAAGUCGAAGAAGCCGCCGCCGGGAUGGGAACGGAGCCAGGGAAACCUUAUUCCAGACGCCGCCGCCGUCACCACCUCAACGCCGACGCCAAGAGACGAAAUCCAAACCCUAACUACCCUAUCUACACCGCACGGACAGAGCACCGGGGUCACCCACACCCUCCGUCGCCGCCGAAGCGACGGACGGAGGGGACGGGGACCCACGGCCUCGCCGGCGGGGAGCGGGGGAGGGGGGGGGGGGGGACGAGCGCCUCCCUUUCGCCUCUUGGUCACGAGAGGAAGAAGAGGAUAAGGCUCUCUGUGCCUGUUUUUGUCCAAAGUGAUCGUUGCUCUUGUUCGCAUGUGACUCAGCUAUGCGUUAAUAUAAGCGGCAUCUGGUCUCUGCUCAUGUAUAAAAUGAUGUAGUACUAUAAUUCUUGGAGGGCUUGAACUUCCACCCCACUCAUUUUUUUACGUAGUAGAUCUGAGAGCCAGCUGACACAGCAGCCACAUAUAAAAUUAUAACUUCGCCCCAAUUGGGCUCGGGUUGUGGCGCAGAUACUAAUAGUUUAGCUUCAUCUCGGUAUAGAAAAUUGCACGGAACAUGCCAAGAGACUAGAAACAAGAUGAUGUGCAGAACCAAGAACGUCUGGUGAUAGAUUCAUUUCAUGUCAUAUAUUUUACUGCUUAGACUAAUAUUAGCACAAGUAGAAGCCAAA